rnacentral:rRNA from 1 species
GGAUUAGAUACCCUGGUAGUCCACGCCGUAAACGAUGUCGACUUGGAGGUUGUGCCCUUGAGGCGUGGCUUCCGGAGCUAACGCGUUAAGUCGACCGCCUGGGGAGUACGGCCGCAAGGUUAAAACUCAAAUGAAUUGACGGGGGCCCGCACAAGCGGUGGAGCAUGUGGUUUAAUUCGAUGCAACGCGAAGAACCUUACCUGGCCUUGACAUCCAGAGAACUUAGCAGAGAUGCUUUGGUGCCUUCGGGAACUCUGAGACAGGUGCUGCAUGGCUGUCGUCAGCUCGUGUUGUGAAAUGUUGGGUUAAGUCCCGCAACGAGCGCAACCCUUAUCCUUUGUUGCCAGCGGCUCGGCCGGGAACUCAAAGGAGACUGCCGGUGAUAAACCGGAGGAAGGUGGGGAUGACGUCAAGUCAUCAUGGCCCUUACGGCCAGGGCUACACACGUGCUACAAUGGCGCAUACAAAGAGAAGCGACCUCGCGAGAGCAAGCGGACCUCAUAAAGUGCGUCGUAGUCCGGAUUGGAGUCUGCAACUCGACUCCAUGAAGUCGGAAUCGCUAGUAAUCGUAGAUCAGAAUGCUACGGUGAAUACGUUCCCGGGCCUUGUACACACCGCCCGUCACACCAUGGGAGUGGGUUGCAAAAGAAGUAGGUAGCUUAACCUUCGGGA